CUCCCAGCACCAGGCAGGCGCCCAGCCAGCUCCCGCUCCCACCCGCGCGCGCCUGUUUAUGAAACGGAGGAAAAAUCGGAGUCCAGACGGGAUGCUGGUGAUAACAUGUGAACCCUGGAUCAAGCCGUGCCUGAAGCCAGAUCCAUCCCAGAUGGCUCAGCUCUAGGAGGCAAAUUCCGUCUUCUGUUUGAGCCCCUGGCUGCUGCCACUUCCUAUCGCCAUGGCAGCCCAGAGGGCAUCGCGGUGCAGGCGACACGCCCAGUGCUCCCGCGUGCAGCACGCAGUCCAGUGUGUGUGGAUCGCGUGUCCUCGCGUGGAGCCC